CCUGCGCAUCUUCCGGAUGCGUGACGCGGAUUGCCUUGCAGCCAAGGCCCUCCGCGACCGCGACAUGAUCGACGCCAUAAACACCAAGCUCCGGCGCGUUGAUGUUCUCGAACGAGAGCUGCACGUGGUANNNNNNNNNNNGCGCCUGACGGAUCAGGCCCAGAUAGGAAUUAUUCACGACGACAUGGAUGUAAGGCAAUUUGAACUGCGCGCCGACGGCCAACUCCUCGAUCAGGAACUGGAAAUCAUAGUCGCCGGACAGCGCAACGAUCUCGCGUUCCGGAUCGGCAGCGCGGACGCCAAGCGCGGCGGGCAGGGUCCAGCC
rnacentral:misc_RNA from 1 species